AGUGAACGCUGGCGGUAGGCCUAACACAUGCAAGUCGAACGGCAGCACAGUAAGAGCUUGCUCUUACGGGUGGCGAGUGGCGGACGGGUGAGGAAUACAUCGGAAUCUACUUUUUCGGGGGGGAUAACGUAGGGAAACUUACGCUAAUACCGCAUACGACCUACGGGUGAAAGCAGGGGAUCUUCGGACCUUGCGCGAUUGAAUGAGCCGAUGUCGGAUUAGCUAGUUGGGGGGGUAAAGGCCCACCAAGGCGACGAUCCGUAGCUGGUCUGAGAGGAUGAUCAGCCACACUGGAACUGAGACACGGUCCAGACUCCUACGGGAGGCAGCAGUGGGGAAUAUUGGACAAUGGGCGCAAGCCUGAUCCAGCCAUACCGCGUGGGUGAAGAAGGCCUUCGGGUUGUAAAGCACUUUUGUUGGGGAAGAAAAGCAGCAGGUUAAUACCCCGCUGUUCUGACGGUACCCAAAGAAUAAGCACCGGCUAACUUCGUG
rnacentral:rRNA from 1 species